GACGGAGGGUGCUAGCGUUGUUCGGAAUUACUGGGCGUAAAGGGCGCGUAGGCGGCCCUGGAAGUCGGGUGUGAAAGCCCGGGGCUCAACCCCGGAACGGCACCCGAUACUCCUGGGCUCGAGACCGGAAGAGGUGAGUGGAAUACCCAGUGUAGAGGUGAAAUUCGUAGAGUAUUGGGUGGAACACCGGUGGCGAAGGCGGCUCACUGGUCCGGUUCUGACGCUGAGGCGCGAAAGCGUGGGGAGCAACAGG
rnacentral:rRNA from 1 species